CUUCCGAUGGCGACCGGCGCACGGGGUGAGUAACACGUAUCCAACCUGCCGAUAACUCGGGGAUAGCCUUUCGAAAGAAAGAUUAAUAUCCGAUAGGAUAUCAAGGUCGCAUGAUCUUGAUAUUAAAGAAUUUCGGUUAUCGAUGGGGAUGCGUUCCAUUAGUUAGUUGGCGGGGUAACGGCCCACCAAGACGACGAUGGAUAGGGGUUCUGAGAGGAAGGUCCCCCACAUUGGAACUGAGACACGGUCCAAACUCCUACGGGAGGCAGCAG
rnacentral:rRNA from 1 species